CAUGGGAUUAGAAGCCCUCUGAGCUUCUGAGCAGUUGUGGCUGGGUGUGCAAAGGCUCUUCUACUAGUGGAGAGCCUUUGAUAUUUUAUUGUCUGCCUAGGUGGUGUGACUGAUUGUUCAUCUCCAUCAGCUUUGCACCUCAGGUGAUGUAAAGAAGGUGGAAACCUGGAGUAAGUAGGUCCCUCAGAAUUGCGUUGUCCUGGGAAGAAGAGAUGGAAGAAGAAGGCUGUGAGACUGUAGUGAGGCAAAUGUGCAAGGCCUUUGGUAUCUUGUGCACUGACAAGGGCCUUUUCCUGAGGAAAAAGGAGUUACUUGUGGUGUGAAUAUGAUCCUGUGAAGCUAAGCACACUGGCUGUGUGGAGAGCUGUGUUUGAUGGCACCUGGGGCAGCAGAAGGGCACACAGGUUAUUCUGCUACUUGCAUGUCUACUGGAGAAGGUGGAGGUGUCCCUGUGCCAUACUGGUAAUACAACAAAACUGCAGUGGAAGCUCUGAUUAAAAGAUGAAGUGUGAUGCUAUAAAUAAGCCUCACCAUGAAGACGUUAGGGUGGCCAUGGCUGUACAAAGUAUCUUAACCAGCAAUCUUUCACCCUUCCACAAAUCUUUUCUUUUUGAAGACCAGAAAGAUUGUUAUUGAGCCUUCCACAAAGCUGAAAUAAUGCUGUGUGUUAAAAAAAUGUUAACAAUUUGAAGAAGUUAUAAAAAUUUAUAAGUUGACUGAAUACUUUGGAAAUUUCUGCAUAUUUUAAUAUAAAUAGGUAAUGCAAAUGUUUGUUCUUUGCAUUUAGAGGUGGGUCUCUGUUUUGUAAAGGUCUUGUAUAUAAAUUUGAUUCUUACAAUUACAUUAGAACAAAACCAGUAUUUUUUUCAGAUUGUAUAAUAGGAAAAAUGUAUUUGCUAAAGACACAGAACAUACAUGGUUAUCUCUGAAUGUCCUAUAGUAAUGAAAUUCAACAUAAAUAGCAUCAGUUGUUUGAAUUACUUCAUUAAGUGCA
rnacentral:lncRNA from 1 species